AACCCAUGCAUCAUACAUUUCUGCAGUAAUUCUUUAAAUCUUUCCCAAGCUUCAUACAGUGUUUCAUCUUCUGAUUGCGAAAAAGAUGUAAUGUUAUUUCUAAGAUU
rfam:Gossypium arboreum cultivar AKA8401 contig_104359_1, whole genome shotgun sequence.